UAACACGUGGAUAACCUACCUAUAAGACUGGGAUAACUUCGGGAAACCGGAGCUAAUACCGGAUAAUAUUUUGAACCGCAUGGUUCAAAAGUGAAAGACGGUCUUGCUGUCACUUAUAGAUGGAUCCGCGCUGCAUUAGCUAGUUGGUGAGGUAACGGCUUACCAAGGCAACGAUGCAUAGCCGACCUGAGAGGGUGAUCGGCCACACUGGAACUGAGACACGGUCCAG
rnacentral:rRNA from 1 species